AGGCGGGAUUUCCGGUUAUUUGUGGGACCCGGUAUACCUCAGCCUGUACUGUGGUGUCAAUGCAGUGUUGAAAAAGUGAGGAAGGGUGUUUAUAAGGCAGAAGUGGACAAACCAUUAAAGGGAUGGAGAGGAUUCUUUAUAGAGGUCACUUUCCCAGGACCUGGGGGCCAUACCCACGUGUUCACCUCAGAGCUACACAUCAUUCCAGACACAUUUCCGUGCACAGACUGCAAAGGAGAGCAAUGCUAUGGGAAACUGGUGUAACACCAGGUGGAGAGGCUGGGACUUGUGCUGCUGAUAGGAUGCCUGAAACAAAGGCCUGGGAGGAAUGCAUGGACUAAAAAUCCAGGGGAGCAUCCCUAUUAAUCUUUUAUUCUUGCUCCCUCUUUUUUUGAAAUAAAACUUCCCCUAGGAUUCUUGCAGUUUUGCAGGUGCUGCCAUUUUAUUUCAUUUCAGGAAGAAUUAUAAUUUCCAUAAGCAAGGAAAAUCUUUUGAUUUAUAUUUCUGUCCUUGCAGCAACUUCCUAAUGAGAUUAUCUGAAAUUUUAAAGAAUGCUAUAGAAAUUGUAAAUUCAGAAAACAGAUCCAAAUUAUACUACUGGGUACCUUCUUGAUAGAAAAAUAGAGGUGAGAUGAAAUAAAAUUCAAAAGGGUUGUCCAAGAGUAAUGGUUGAAAGUGAAAAGCAGUAUGCUCUCAGCAUUGAAUACUAAAACCUCAGAGUUGCCAUGAGAGAAAUCCUGUAUCUUCAUCUGGCUAGAUACUAAAGAAACACUGCUGAAAUGAAGAACUUCUGCUUGAUGGUACCAUAGAGUAGUCUUGGAGGACCAAGAAAAUAUAGUAAUUUCUGGCAAAAGCACAUCAUAACAUUCUCUAUAGGACCUAGAAAAUUCCUAGAGAGGAUUUUUUUUUUCAGAUGCAGAUAGAUGAAAUUGCAGGGAGGGGUUCAUUUUUUUAAGUCCCUAAUGAAAGUGGGAGAACAAACUACCAUUUGAAUGUAUUAAGAAUGUUCAUGCCCUGAGAAUGAUCCAGGAAAGUUCACAUUUUGUGAAUUCUCGUAUUUUUCCCCUCAUCUCUUGUCAGGAUGACCCCUUUGAAAUAUGAAUGUGAAGGAGCCACACCUGAUCCCUGGAUUCACAUUCCUUUUAUGAUGACAAUUAAAACGCCUGAGGGUUGCUUAUCGAAACAAGGAUGAGUAGCAGGAUAUGUUUAUUUUCUGUCCUAGUUUCUUCUUCCCCUCAAAAAGCCAUUUCCCCCCAAUAACCAGACAUUAAGCCUGGAA